rnacentral:misc_RNA from 1 species
ACCCAUGUCAAGUGAUAUUAGCUGUAAAGCAGAAGUGGACAAUAUCAGCAACAAAUUUAAAUAGACAGGAUGGAAUACAGCCAAUGCAGUAAUAUCCCUCCUCUCGGAGGUAUCUCCACAACCCUACCCUUCAAGAGGCAAGAGAGUCGCCGGGAGAGAGAGGAGGGGGGAGCCAACAGAGGAAGUGAAUACUCUGUUAACAGAAUUGAACUAGCACAUUAAGAACAUACCUUCCUGUUCAUCAGAGCUUGAG